rnacentral:rRNA from 1 species
AAUAGAUACCCUGGUAGUCCACGCCCUAAACGAUGUCUACUAGUUGUCGGGUCUUAAUUGACUUGGUAACGCAGCUAACGCGUGAAGUAGACCGCCUGGGGAGUACGGUCGCAAGAUUAAAACUCAAAGGAAUUGACGGGGACCCGCACAAGCGGUGGAUGAUGUGGAUUAAUUCGAUGCAACGCGAAAAACCUUACCUACCCUUGACAUGUCAGGAACCCUCGAGAGAUUGAGGGGUGCCCGAAAGGGGGCCUGAACACAGGUGCUGCAUGGCUGUCGUCAGCUCGUGUCGUGAGAUGUUGGGUUAAGUCCCGCAACGAGCGCAACCCUUGCCAUUAGUUGCUACGAAAGGGCACUCUAAUGAGACUGCCGGUGACAAACCGGAGGAAGGUGGGGAUGACGUCAAGUCCUCAUGGCCCUUAUGGGUAGGGCUUCACACGUCAUACAAUGGUACAUACAGAGGGCCGCCAACCCGCGAGGGGGAGCUAAUCCCAGAAAGUGUAUCGUAGUCCGGAUCGCAGUCUGCAACUCGACUGCGU